rnacentral:siRNA from 1 species
UUUGUUUACAUGUAUUUAUGCAUA